rnacentral:rRNA from 1 species
UACGGAGGGUGCAAGCGUUGUUCGGAAUCACUGGGCGUAAAGCGCGUGUAGGCGGCCUUCUUAGUCUGGUGUGAAAGCCCGGGGCUCACCCCCGGAAGUGCAUUGGAUACUGGAAGGCUGGAGUACCGGAGAGGAGGGUGGAAUUCCUGGUGUAGCGGUGAAAUGCGUAGAUAUCAGGAGGAACACCGGUGGCGAAGGCGGCCCUCUGGACGGAUACUGACGCUGAGACGCGACAGCAUGGGGAGCGAACAGG